AGUGAACGCUGGCGGUAGGCCUAACACAUGCAAGUCGAACGGCAGCACAGUAAGAGCUUGCUCUUACGGGUGGCGAGUGGCGGACGGGUGAGGAAUACAUCGGAAUCUACUUUUUCGUGGGGGAUAACGUAGGGAAACUUACGCUAAUACCGCAUACGACCUACGGGUGAAAGCAGGGGAUCUUCGGACCUUGCGCGAUUGAAUGAGCCGAUGUCGGAUUAGCUAGUUGGCGGGGUAAAGGCCCACCAAGGCGACGAUCCGUAGCUGGUCUGAGAGGAUGAUCAGCCACACUGGAACUGAGACACGGUCCAGACUCCUACGGGAGGCAGCAGUGGGGAAUAUUGGACAAUGGGCGCAAGCCUGAUCCAGCCAUACCGCGUGGGCGAAGAAGGCCUUCGGGUUGUAAAGCUCUUUUGUUGGGAAAGAAAAGCAGCAGGUUAAUACCCCGCUGUUCUGACGGUACCCAAAGAAUAAGCACCGGCUAACUUCGUG
rnacentral:rRNA from 1 species